CGGGGCCGACUGCGCGCGUUGGGUAGUUCUCCGCCCCGCGCCUUGGGUGUUUCCUCGCGCCGGGCUAGGCCCGCGGAGUCGUUCACGGCCCUGCAAGCGUCGGUGUUAAAUGCGCUCAGCCCUCUUUGCAAAGCUCUCCUCCCCUCUCCGGCCGAGACGGCGCGGGGACUCUCAUCACCCCAAGCCUAUGAUGCUGGUAUGGCAAGACCGCCAAAACCUGCUCUGAGAAGGAAAGUGAGAGCGUGGGAGCCGGGCAUUGGAGGUGGUCAAGAGGCAAGUCCCCGAGUGCUCCGGCUGGCACUGCGCGCAGGGAGAGGUCGGCAACGGGCUUGGUGCAGAGCUCCACGCCGACAGCAGCAGGCAGGGCACCUGGCACGGUACAGAGCCUCUCUGCCCAGACCUUCGGGAACAGACGAGGAAAAACGCCCAGGAAGAUUAAAUGACUCUCCCAAAGCCACGCAGCGUCUUCGCGACGGUCUCCGUUCAUUCAAGGCUAAAGCUGUUGUACCCACUGUUCUUGCUCUUCCUUUUCGUCCCUUUCAGCCUGACUUCAGAGGCAUCAUUUUGUUCUCUUGGUAACACAGGAAUGCGAAUGUCCCGAACACUACCCAAAUGCACACUUAAAAAUGGUUAAAAUGGUAAAUUGUAUGUUAUGUGUAUUUUACCACAGCUCAAUAAAUGUUAAAUAAAUAUUGACUACUAAGCUUA